AGGCGCCUUUAUGGGAGACCUGCUGCAGGCGGCCCGCCCAUUGGCCUGAGCGUGUCACGUGGCCACGCCUGGAGCCCGGCGGCGGGUAAAGUGCGCGAGGUAUCAGCUCCGCAGUCCGGCUUUCGCCGAGGUUCAAGGUCUUUCACCCUGGGAGUGCACGUUUGUUGAGCCUUUACUGAAUGCCAGCUGCCAGGAGAGAGAGGAGCUCCUUUUACUCUGUGCUGUCAAGCUGAAAGAACCACAUAAGCCUGCAGCUUAUGGUCCUAACCCCAGGCUUCAUGGAAGAAGCUCUCUGCAGAAUGAUGCCAACACACGGAGGGAGCCAGAGCUCUGGCAACAUUUACCACCAUCUGAAGCUAAACCAACCCUUCAACUUUCCAGUUGCUGGAGCCAAUACAUUCCCUUUUUCUUAAGCUAA